UUUUUUUUUUUUUUAAUUUUAGCUAUUUUAUUUUUGUCUUUUUGCCUUUUCUAGGGCCGCUCCUGUGGCAUAUGGAGUUCCCAGGCUAGGGGUCGAAUCGGAGCUGUAGCCACCAGCCUACACCAGAGCCACAGCGAAUGCGGGAUCCGAGCCACGUCUGCGACCUACACCACAGCUCACGGCAACACCAGAUCCUUAACCCACUGAGCAAGGCCAGGGAUCAAACCUGCAACCUCAUGGUUCCUAGUUGGAUUCGUUAACCACUACGCCAUGACGGGAACUCCUAUUUUGUUUUUAAAAUAACCUUUGAGUACACCACCAUUCUUAUCAUGAACAAUUAGAAAAAUGAGAAUGCUUGUAGACAUACUACAAAUUUGACAAAGAUCCUAGAAAACUAUAUUGGACUAAAUAAUUAUUAUUCACAAAUAAUCACUUCGUAUUAACACUAUUUACCCUUAGCUGAUUUUCCUCUAAAUACAACACAUGGUUGUUAUGUGUCCCAUUUGUUUUAUUCAAUACCUGGAUACACUUGAAGAGAAUAAGUCAAACUUGCCUAAACCUAAACCAAUUUAAUACAUUUUAUCCUCUAAGAUUUGAGUUAUAUUGCUGAGUAUUUUAGACUACAAAACUCAUUUUUUUUUCUUUUUAGGUCCACACCCGGGGCACAUGGAGGUUCCUAGCCUGGGGGUCUAAUCGGAGCUACAGCUGCUGGCCUACACCACAGCUCAUACCAGAUCCAAGCUGUGUCUGCGGCCUACACCACAGAUGUCAGCAAAGCCGUAUCCUUAACCCACUGAGCGAGGCCAGAGAUCGAACGCUCAACCCAUGGUUCCUAGUUGGAUUCGGCUCCACUGUGCCACAAUAGGAACUCCCAAAACUCAUUGUAAUAAAGGUUAAUGAGUGAGGCUGAGCCCUUGAUUUUCUAGACCAGACAUGGAGGGUUAUAGCAGUUAGUCCAAGAGCCUAACUAGGAAACAUUUUCUUAAAUAGGGAAAUGUUAGGCUGAGCAGGAAGGAUGACUGCAAUAUACUGCAGUUUGGUGAGAGGAUUAACUGAAUAUAUAUAUAUAUCUGGCAAUAGUUUGUGAGAGACAUUCCUAGAUCUGGAUAGUCAAAAGAACCUUAAAAAUCAAAGGCUUGGUUUCUAUAUAUAAGUUUGAAAUCUGUGCAGGUGAAGAGGAGGGGCAAUCCAUUGAAUAUGAAGUAGCCUCAGGUAUUCACGACCUUUAAAAACUGUCAUUUUGGCGUUCUUCUUAUGGCUCAGUGG
rnacentral:lncRNA from 1 species